rnacentral:miRNA from 1 species
UCUCUCUCCCACUUCCCUGCAG